rnacentral:rRNA from 1 species
UACAGAGGUCUCAAGCGUGUUCGGAUUCAUUGGGCGUAAAGAGCUCGUAGGCGGUGUGUCACGUCGUUCGUGAAAACCUGCAGCUUAACUGUGGGCGUGCGGUCGAUACGGGCAUCACUGGAGUUCGGCAGGGGAGACUGGAAUUCCUGGUGUAGCGGUGAAAUGCGCAGAUAUCAGGAGGAACACCGGUGGCGAAGGCGGGUCUCUGGGCCGAUACUGACGCUGAGGAGCGAAAGCGUGGGGAGCGAACAGG